rnacentral:rRNA from 1 species
GAUGAACGCUGGCGGCGUGCCUAAUACAUGCAAGUCGAGCGAACAGACGAGGAGCUUGCUCCUCUGACGUUAGCGGCGGACGGGUGAGUAACACGUGGAUAACCUACCUAUAAGACUGGGAUAACUUCGGGAAACCGGAGCUAAUACCGGAUAAUAUAUUGAACCGCAUGGUUCAAUAGUGAAAGACGGUUUUGCUGUCACUUAUAGAUGGAUCCGCGCCGCAUUAGCUAGUUGGUAAGGUAACGGCUUACCAAGGCAAUGAUGCGUAGCCGACCUGAGAGGUUGAUCGGCCACACUGGAACUGAGACACGGUCCAGACUCCUACGGGAGGCAGCAGUAGGGAAUCUUCCGCAAUGGGCGAAAGCCUGACGGAGCAACGCCGCGUGAGUGAUGAAGGUCUUCGGAUCGUAAAACUCUGUUAUUAGGGAAGAACAAAUGUGUAAGUAACUAUGCACGUCUUGACGGUACCUAAUCAGAAAGCCACGGCUAACUACGUG